GGCUGGUCUGAGUGCAGUCGUGUUUACAGCUAAUCGAUCACAACCAGUUACAGAUCCCUUUGUUCCUUCUCCACUACUUCAGUUGACCAGCCUAAA
ensembl:misc_RNA Y_RNA Y RNA